rnacentral:tRNA from 1 species
UUAAUUGAAACCAAAUAGAGGUUUAUCACUGUUAAUGAUAUCAUUGAGAAUUUCUCCAAUUAAG